CUGGGACUUGGCCUGGACACUUCACCUACUGCACAGAGCUCUCUUUGUCCCACUGUGUCCCUGAGCCGUGGACCAGGAGCUGCGCGAGAACUUUGUGAAGUCUGUGCAGCGUUGAUAUGCCCUGGCCCAGGUACUGGUGGAGCAGAACUUGCCAGCCAUUGCCAUACACUGUGAGACCCUUCAGGAGGAGAGUAGUUUAAAGGUCUUCAAUAUCGAAUUCUUGUGGCCAGCAACCUAUGUGGCCAAGGCAUGGACAUUAAGCAGGUGAACUCUGCCAUCGACUACCACCGGCCUGGCGAUUCCCACACCUACCUG